ensembl:miRNA predicted gene, 23912
UGAAGAUCAGUCAGUUUGUCAGUCUAUCCUUCAGUCUGCCUGGUCCAUCGGUUGGUCGGUCGGUCGGUAGUCCUUCAGCCUGU